rnacentral:rRNA from 1 species
CAAUAGCGUAUAUUAAAGUUGUUGCAGUUAAAAAGCUCGUAGUUGGAUUUGUGGCGUACGGUGUGUUCCGGGCACUUGUUGUCUGAGUAACCUGCUGUUGCCAUCCUUGGGUGGAACCUGUGUGGCAUUAGGUUGUCGUGCAGGGGAUGCCCAUCAUUUACUGUGAAAAAAUUAGAGUGUUCAAAGCAGGCUUAUGCCGUUGAAUAUAUUAGCAUGGAAUAAUGAGAUAGGACUUUUUUGCUAUUUUGUUGGUUUGCGCAAAGAGAUAAUGAUUAAUAGGGACAGUUGGGGGUAUUCGUAUUCCAUUGUCAGAGGUGAAAUUCUUGGAUUUUUGGAAGACGAACUACUGCGAAAGCAUUUACCAAGGAUGUUUUCAUUAA